GGUUAAGCGACUAAGCGUACACGGUGGAUGCCCUGGCAGUCAGAGGCGAUGAAGGACGUGCUAAUCUGCGAUAAGCGUCGGUAAGGUGAUAUGAACCGUUAUAACCGGCGAUUUCCGAAUGGGGAAACCCAGUGUGAUUCGUCACACUAUCAUUAACUGAAUCCAUAGGUUAAUGAGGCGAACCGGGGGAACUGAAACAUCUAAGUACCCCGAGGAAAAGAAAUCAACCGAGAUUCCCCCAGUAGCGGCGAGCGAACGGGGAGCAGCCCAGAGCCUGAAUCAGUGUGUGUGUUAGUGGAAGCGUCUGGAAAGGCGUGCGAUACAGGGUGACAGCCCCGUACACAAAAAUGCACAUACUGUGAGCUCGAUGAGUAGGGCGGGACACGUGGUAUCCUGUCUGAAUAUGGGGGGACCAUCCUCCAAGGCUAAAUACUCCUGACUGACCGAUAGUGAACCAGUACCGUGAGGGAAAGGCGAAAAGAACCCCGGCGAGGGGAGUGAAAAAGAACCUGAAACCGUGUACGUACAAGCAGUGGGAGCACGCUUAGGCGUGUGACUGCGUACCUUUUGUAUAAUGGGUCAGCGACUUAUAUUCUGUAGCAAGGUUAACCGAAUAGGGGAGCCGAAGGGAAACCGAGUCUUAACUGGGCGUUAAGUUGCAGGGUAUAGACCCGAAACCCGGUGAUCUAGCCAUGGGCAGGUUGAAGGUUGGGUAACACUAACUGGAGGACCGAACCGACUAAUGUUGAAAAAUUAGCGGAUGACUUGUGGCUGGGGGUGAAAGGCCAAUCAAACCGGGAGAUAGCUGGUUCUCCCCGAAAGCUAUUUAGGUAGCGCCUCGUGAAUUCAUCUCCGGGGGUAGAGCACUGUUUCGGCAAGGGGGUCAUCCCGACUUACCAACCCGAUGCAAACUGCGAAUACCGGAGAAUGUUAUCACGGGAGACACACGGCGGGUGCUAACGUCCGUCGUGAAGAGGGAAACAACCCAGACCGCCAGCUAAGGUCCCAAAGUCAUGGUUAAGUGGGAAACGAUGUGGGAAGGCCCAGACAGCCAGGAUGUUGGCUUAGAAGCAGCCAUCAUUUAAAGAAAGCGUAAUAGCUCACUGGUCGAGUCGGCCUGCGCGGAAGAUGUAACGGGGCUAAACCAUGCACCGAAGCUGCGGCAGCGACGCUUAUGCGUUGUUGGGUAGGGGAGCGUUCUGUAAGCCUGUGAAGGUGUGCUGUGAGGUAUGCUGGAGGUAUCAGAAGUGCGAAUGCUGACAUAAGUAACGAUAAAGCGGGUGAAAAGCCCGCUCGCCGGAAGACCAAGGGUUCCUGUCCAACGUUAAUCGGGGCAGGGUGAGUCGACCCCUAAGGCGAGGCCGAAAGGCGUAGUCGAUGGGAAACAGGUUAAUAUUCCUGUACUUGGUGUUACUGCGAAGGGGGGACGGAGAAGGCUAUGUUGGCCGGGCGACGGUUGUCCCGGUUUAAGCGUGUAGGCUGGUUUUCCAGGCAAAUCCGGAAAAUCAAGGCCGAGGCGUGAUGACGAGGCACUACGGUGCUGAAGCAACAAAUGCCCUGCUUCCAGGAAAAG
rnacentral:rRNA from 1 species